AAGUGCUUGUACAGAGAGAGAGAGCUUGUAAUGUAUUAUAUACCUCUAUUGUCAGUAAAGUGACUCUUAAAACUUAUUACUGGUCUAGCUCAUUGCUGUACACUGGAUCUAGCCUGUCACUAUCCUAUCCUGCAUCUUGGGCAUUUGUCUGUGCACGGUCCAAACAUCCAACAGAUGAAUGUUUUUCAGCAACUAAACUGCUAAAAGAGGAAGAGAAUGUGGAACUACAUGCUGGAGGCGAUUGCCACAGAUAACACUGUAAUGCAGGCAUCUUCAGUAACUGAAAGCUCUGCUGAAGUUUGUUCCCAGCCAACACCUACAUCUCUGGAAAAUGGCAUCAAUGGGAAACAUUCAAAUACAGGAUUCUGCAGAUCUGACAUCAAAUCAGCCCAGCCAUCUCAUUCUUAGAAGCAUUCUUGGCAUUCAAGCUGAUGAAACGGACAAUAUUUUACCAAGAAAAUGGAGGGCAGCAAUGAAAUGCAUUGUCAGAGCAGCAGCGUGUGCCAUUUUGAAGCACUGUUUCAUGCAAAAUAUGUUUGAUUCUUGUGUGGAAUGUGUAGUUCAAGCACCUGCUGAGGCCUCGGAUGAAUGCCUUGUGUGGACUAAAUCUGUCCUCUCUAGAAAGUUGAGAAUUAUAUGUGGGAAAAUCUGUUUUAAAAGUGUGCUCCAUGUUAUUAUCUUAACAGCUUACAGCUUAAAUUGUCUUGUUCUAACACAUGAAACUGUUGAUGAAAUAUUAAAUCUGGUGACCAAGGUAGGCCGUUCCCAGAAGUCUGUUAAAGUUGUUGAACAGAUAAUGAGACAUACUGACCAGGCAGAUGUAAAUCACAGUGUAAGUAUUAUUAAAAACAGAAGUUAUAAAAGUUUUCUUACACCACUCAAUUCAAGCUCUGAAUAAAAGGCUAUACUGUAUUUGAAAACAUGGUGUGUGUUUUAAAUAAAGCUCUA